GACGAACGCUGGCGGCGUGCUUAACACAUGCAAGUCGAACGGAAAGGCCCUGCUUUUGUGGGGUGCUCGAGUGGCGAACGGGUGAGUAACACGUGAGUAACCUGCCCUUGACUUUGGGAUAACUUCAGGAAACUGGGGCUAAUACCGGAUAGGAGCUCCUGCUGCAUGGUGGGGGUUGGAAAGUUUCGGCGGUUGGGGAUGGACUGGCGGCUUAUCAGUUUGUUGGUGGGGUAGUGGCUUACCAAGGGUUUGACGGGUAGCCGGCCUGAGAGGGUGACCGGCCACAAUGGGACUGAGAGACGGCGCAGAAUCCAACGGGAGGCAGCAGUGGGGAGUAUUGCACAAUGGGCGGAAGCCUGAUGCGGCAACGCCGCGUGCGGGAUGACGGGCUUCGGGUUGUAAACCGAUUUCGACUGUGACGAAGCGUGAGUGACGGUAAUGGGUAAAGAAGCACCGGCUAACUACGUG
rnacentral:rRNA from 1 species